rnacentral:lncRNA from 1 species
GCCUCGAUAGUAUCGAAUCAGUAUUCGGCAGAGGAUAAAGCCCUGUGUUAACCCCCAAGGAACGAACAUCUGGAAUAUUAUUAAAUGUAAAUAUAAUUUUAAAAUUUACUGUUUUGUUCCCCUAAAUUUUGCUAGUCAAAUGUAAGAAGUUUGAUAUGUAGUGUAGGAACAAUCUUUCUCAGCUCCCUCAGCUGCUAGGUUGUAUCUGUGUCACUAUGUCACUAUGUUGCAUGUCUGAGACACCAAAUAGUAAAUACUCGUUGUUGACUGACAUGGAUGGAGAGAAGGAUUUGGGGAGUUGUAUUUAUACAUAUAUACAUAUAGUGCUUAUGUGAAUAUGUGUGUGUGUGUGGCCUGAUCGAAGAUGUUUUAUCAAGGAAAUUUUUCCAUAUCGUUUACCUGCUGAAGUCACAGAGUCAGUAUUCCUUUCAUUCCUGCCUGCAAAACAGAUCAUCUUUUUUCUCAAGGUCGUCUCUGUUGUAACAUAUUAGCAAAGGCAGCCAAGGCAGCUGGCUCACAGGGCUGACAUUGUUUCGCUAAUGUCUUCUCUUAGAGCUCAAGUGCAGUAGGUUUAUAACAUACUUCCUGAGACCACAGGCAACGGAUUUCACAUUUUUCACGCCACCAUAACACAGAAGCGCCAUAUUUCUAACCUCUAAUGUUAGUUUCUUCAUCACCUAUAAACAUACCAACAAGCCAGUGCUGCCUAUUUUAGAUAUUUCCUGAAGCUGGAAAAGGAGUACCUUGACUCCUGCCCUGCCUUGUCAAGAUUUCAGCCUGAAAGUGACACUUCCUGCUUACGUUUCUUGGCUAGACCAAGUCACAUGGCUCUGCUUAACUUCAGACAGAAGAAGCACAGUGUUCUAUGUGCCUCCAAAAGGAGGACAAUUGAAUCACAGUGAACAAUGCUAAUGUUUACCUGAGAAGUUUCAUGAUGAAAUGCUAUGAGCGGUCAUUUGUCUAUGGUUGCAACAAACAGCAGGAAUGCAUAGAAGCGAGAAGCAGCUUGUUCCGGCACAGGGAAGCAGAGAUUGAUCCCUGUUUCCUACCCCACAUCACUGGUGUCAGAGAGAUGGCUCUGCUUCUCUGCACCGAUGGAGCUGUUUCUCCACGCUGAGACUGGAGGAGCAGAAUCCUUGUUACGCGGAAAUUCUGAGAGGAGCCCUGAUGUGGAUUGUACUCUUUGGUUCCUGAUUCUUGACUCAGAUGUGGGUCCAUGAGGUUAUUUGGUGUCCCGUGUAUUGUUUUAAGAGGCUCCAGCUUCCUUAUGGGAAUAUCACAUUCCUCCUAUUUAACCUGAACCUGAAAGUCAUCACAGCCAAUAAAUAAACAAUAACUGGCUGAUUCUCUUCUGGC